GAUGAACGCUGGCGGCGCGCCUAACACAUGCAAGUCGAACGAUUAAGGCACGUUCGGGUGUGUAUCACGUGGCGAACGGGUGAGUAACACGUGUGCGUACUGCCCCCCUCAUUGGGGUAGCCACUGAAAAAAGUGGAGAUUACACAAGACUUCGGGUCUUCCUCCUGGAAGGGGCGUGGAAGCUUCGGCGGGGUGGGAUGGGCCCGCGGCUUGUUAGCUUGUUGGUGGGGUAAUGGCCUACCAAGGCAAUGAUGGGUAGCUGGGUUGAGAGGCCGACCAGCCAGAUUGGGACUGAGACACGGCCCAGACUCCUACGGGAGGCAGCAGUGGGGAAUCUUGCACAAUGGGCGAAAGCCUGAUGCAGCGACGCCGCGUGCGGGAUGAAGGCCUUCGGGUUGUAAACCGCUUUCAGCAGGGACGAGGCGAAAGUGACGGUACCGGGAGAAGAAGCCCCGGCUAACUACGUG
rnacentral:rRNA from 1 species